rnacentral:rRNA from 1 species
AGUGAACGCUGGCGGUAGGCCUAACACAUGCAAGUCGAACGGCAGCACAGUAAGAGCUUGCUCUUACGGGUGGCGCGUGGCGGACGGGUGAGGUAUACAUCGGAAUCUACUUUUUCGUGGGGGCUAACGUCGGGAAACUUACGCUAAUACCGCAUACGACCUCCGGGUGAAAGCAGGGGAUCUUCGGACCUUGUGCGAUUGAAUGAGCCGAUGUCGGAUUAGCUAGUUGGCGGGGUAAAGGCCCAACAAGGCGACGAUCCGUAGCUGGUCUGAGAGGAUGAUCAGCCACACGGGAACUGAGACACGGUCCAGACUCCUACGGGAGGCAGCAGUGGGGAAUAUUGGACAAGGGGCGCAAGCCUGAUCCAGCCAUACCGCGUGGGUGAAGAAGGCCUUCGGGUUGUAAAGCCCUUUUGUUGGGAAAGAAAAGCAGCAGGUUAAUACCCCGCGGUUCUGACGGUACCCAAAGAAUAAGCACCGGCUAACUUCGUG